rnacentral:rRNA from 1 species
GAUGAACGCUGGCGGCGUGCCUAAUACAUGCAAGUCGAGCGAACGGACGAGAAGCUUGCUUCUCUGAUGUUAGCGGCGGACGGGUGAGUAACACGUGGAUAACCUACCUAUAAGACUGGGAUAACUUCGGGAAACCGGAGCUAAUACCGGAUAAUAUUUUGAACCGCAUGGUUCAAAAGUGAAAGACGGUCUUGCUGUCACUUAUAGAUGGAUCCGCGCUGCAUUAGCUAGUUGGUAAGGUAACGGCUUACCAAGGCAACGAUGCAUAGCCGACCUGAGAGGGUGAUCGGCCACACUGGAACUGAGACACGGUCCAGACUCCUACGGGAGGCAGCAGUAGGGAAUCUUCCGCAAUGGGCGAAAGCCUGACGGAGCAACGCCGCGUGAGUGAUGAAGGUCUGCGGAUCGUAAAACUCUGUUAUUAGGGAAGAACAUAUGUGUAAGUAACUGUGCACAUCUGGACGGUACCUAAUCAGAAAGCCACGGCUAACUACGU